GGUUCUAUGGUGUAGCGGUUAUCACGUAUGCUUCACACGCAUAAGGUCGCGAGUUCGAGACUCGCUAGAACCU
rfam:Protomyces lactucaedebilis strain 12-1054 BCR37scaffold_4, whole genome shotgun sequence.